CCUCACUUCACUAAAUCUCUUCGAACAAAUCUAUCCAGGUAUUUCUGAGGCUGUCUCUUGCUUUGUUUCUUACAUCACAUUGGCCUUCUAUUACAUUCCUGUACCAUAAUUUGUUGGGCUAUUCCACAAUGGAUGGACACUCCCUUAGUUCCCAUUCCUCUCUCUUUGAUCUCCUGGGUAUAGAGGCCUAGCAGUGGUAUUACUAGGUCAAAGGAUGUGGACACUUUAGUAACUUUUUGGGCUUGCCUCCAAACUUUUCUAGAAUGGUCAGACUGAUUCCCAGCUCCACCCCUAAUACAUUAAUGUGCCUCUUUUCCUGCAGUUAUUCUAACAUGCCAUUUUCCUGUUUUGUCAUCUUUGCCAGACUGAUGGGCAUAAAUGAUCCAUUAUUCAGAGGGACAUAUGAGAAAGAAUGCUAUCCACAUCCAGAGGAAGAACUGUGGGAAAAGAAACACAGAAGAAAAACAACUGCUUGAUCACAGUGGAUUUUAAAGCAAAAGAUGAAGAAGAGAAAAUUUGACAUGAGAAGUGAAAAGUCAACUAAGAAGAAUGGUAUCAGAGAAUGGGAAAUAGAUUUCUGGCCCAUGACUCAAAGUGCAGUAAUAACAGAUUCCUAGCCUGGGAGGGAGGACAAUCAACAUAUUCUGGUAAGAUAGUAUUUGCCUGGUCUAAAGGAAAGGGCUUUAUAGUAAAAGAGACAGGGAAAAGAGGGGGGGAAAUGUACACAUGCUUACUACACAAGACAUAAUACCUAUACAGGCACAUAAUAUGCUCAUAUACAUGUAUGAACAUGUGUGUAUGGGCAGAUAUCCAUGUUUGUAUACAUAUACACAUAUGUGUAUGUAUAUACAUACGUAGCCACUAAGAAAGGUGCCAUAGUACAGUUGAGACACACAGAAAUUCUUAGGAAACAAAAUUUAAGUGUAAGAAAGUUGGUUUUUCCAUAGAACUCAUCUCAGAAAAGGAUCUGGAGAUUGAUAGUAGAUAGAUCAAUGGAUAGGUAGAUAGAUAGAUGAGAUACAAGAAUGGAUAGAUGCAUGACAGUUAGAUAAAAGGUCAGGUAGAUGGAGCAGUAGAGUGUGGGUCCUAGAGCCAGGGAAACCUGAGUUCAAAUUUGGUUUCAGAAACUUACUAGCAAUAUGAUCCUGGGCAAGUCACUUAACCCUAUUUACCUCAGUUUCCACAUAUAUAAAAUGAGCUGGAGAAAGAAGUGGCAAGCCAUUCAGUAUCUUUAUCAAGAAAACCCAAAAUGGAGUCAUGAAGAAUUGGACAUAACUGAAAAAUGGCUGAACAACAUUAGAUGGUAGUUAGACAGACAGAUAGAUAGAUAGAUAGAUAGAUAGAUAGAUAGAUAGAUAGAUAAAUAGAUAGAUAGAUAGAUAGAUAGAAAGACAGAUUGAUAGAUAGACAGACAGACAGACAGACAGACAGACAGACAGACAGACAGAUAGAUAGAUAGAUAGAUAGAUAGAUAGAUAGAUAGAUAGAUAGAUAGAUAGAUGGAUGGAUAAGUGGAUAGAAAGACAGAUAGAUGGAUAGAUAGACAGAUAGACAGAUAGAUAGAGAGAUAGAUAGAGAUAGGAAGGAAGAUAGGUAGAUAGAUAGAUAGAUAGAUAGAUAGACAGAUAGAUAUAGAGAAUUUAUCAAGUGAUUAAUUUGUGGCAGACACUGUAAGCACUGAGGAUACAAAUAUAAGAAAGUCUACCCUCAAAGAACUUACAUUCUAAUAGGGGAAAAUAACAUAUCAAUGGGGGAUGGACAGGGUGGGAGUUCACACAUGGCAGCAAGCUAAGUGAAAACCAGGAAGCAGUAUGGAGGGCCUGAGCCACCUUGUUUUUUCAAGCCAGAACUCCUUUUAUGAGAUGCAAAUUAGCCACUUGUGUGAAUCUGAAAGGAAGCAACUUGAUAGAACAAAAAAUGAUAGGGGAAAUGCAAAAUAGGUUGACUUGAAGAGGAAUUCACUUUGGGAAGCAUCUAUAGAAAAUACAUGGAGCUCAAGAAUGGGAAGCUCUAAACAAGCCAUAUAGAGGUGAGAGAGAAGAAGAGGCAGGGGCAACUGCUCCAAAAUGUGUAAUUAGAAUUUGCUUCCCAGGACUCUAAAUCCUAGCAUCCCACUUUUGUUCUCACAUUACAUCACAUUUUGGAGGUAAAGUUUUUGUGUGACCCAGCCUCUCUCUCUCUUUUCCUGCAAAGGAGGCUGGAAAGCUUUCUUUACUCAGGCUUUUACUUUUGUCCUUUUAGUUAUUUUACUUCAAGGGAUUAUUAAUAAAUCUUAUAAAAUACAUUACUUAGAGUUAUUG
rnacentral:lncRNA from 1 species